GACAUAGGUGGCGAACGUUAUCCGGAAUUAUUGGGCGUAAAGGGUGCGUAGGUGGUUGAAUAAGUUAUUGGUGGGAAACCGGGGCUCAACCCCGUGGAAGCCAGUAAUACUAUUCAACUAGAGGACCGGAGGGGUUAACGGAAUUCUAUGUGUAGCGGUAAAAUGCGUAAAUAUAUAGAGGAACACCAAUUGGCGAAGGCAGUUAACUAUUCGGUUCCUGACGUUGAGGCACGAAAGCGUGGGGAGCAAGACGG
rnacentral:rRNA from 1 species